ensembl:lncRNA
AGUAACCUUCGGAUACUGCUUGACACCAGGCUUCGAUGACAUUAGGAUACUGCUUGACACCGGGCUACGGUGACAUUAUGAUACUACUUGACACCAGGCUAGUGACAUUAGGAUACUGCUUGACACCGGGCUAUGGUGACAUUAGGAUACUGCUUGACACCAGGCUACGGUGACAUUGGAUACUGCUUGACACCAGGCUACGGUGACCUUCGGAUACUGCUUGACACCGGGCUAGUGACAUUAGGAUACUGCUUGACACCAGGCUACGGUGACAUUAGGAUACUGCUUGACACCAGGCUACAGAGACAUUAGGAUACUGCUUGACACCAGGCUACGGUAACCUUCGGAUACUGCUUGACACCAGGCUACGGUAACCUUCGGAUACUGCUUGACACCAGGCUUCGAUGACAUUAGGAUACUGCUUGACACCAGGCUACGGUGACAUUAGGAUACUGCUUAUUUAUUAUUUUGCACAUUCAUCAUGAAUAGAAAAAUCCAAAUAUGUCCUUUUCAUUUUAAGUCAAUUAAAAUUUGUGGUAGAUGCCACACUUAUUCUCUUCGAUAAACAUACUCUGGUAAGGUAAGGUACUUUUGAUAAAGUACUUUUUUAGAGACCUGUGAAGGCAGAAUGUGACAGACUUUGUUAGUACAUACGGGUAGUCUUCAACACUUUCCUUUUCGUCUUUAAAACUACUCGAAAGGAGCCUCCUCGAGCAACAACUUAUGAAGGUUGGGGAUGAAAAUAUCUGACGACAAAUACUAUACACACACAUUGGUGUUUGAUAUAUUUAAGGAAUUACCAAAAGACGAGUUGCAUAUGUCUCUGGAAAUGUAACGAUUAUUAUCACGUUUUUCUGAAGUUCCAGGAAUUUUGUAGAAAGUGAUGUUACGGUGGGACCACUGUCACAGUUGUUGUAUUUGACUGUUUAAGGUCAAGAUUAAUGGCUAUUUAAUUGUUUAAAUGUGUAUAAGUGGACAUUGUGCAGGGCUGCCGUAAAUUCAUCUGUCCAUCCCUCCUGACAAAGAACUGCUUCCAUGUUGUUUAUCAGACGCUGUGCUGUCAUUCAACCUACUGCUGAACUUUAGGUUGGGUUUGUUUCUCUUUUGCAUUGAAUAAAAUGAAGCGUG